GUCACUUUGCCGGAGUGGUUAACGGGAUCGCCUGCUAUUUCCGUGCUUCUCAAGCUACGAAUGUGAAGCGGUUGCACUUUGUGCGCGAGUGUUCGAAUCGCUCAGGUGACG